UGUGACUUCCAGACAUAGAUUGAGCCAAA
rnacentral:piRNA from 1 species